rnacentral:misc_RNA from 1 species
UAACUGCGUGCAGACGUGUGAACUGCAGGACACAUGAACACCGACGUUUCGAACGCAAAUGGCGGUCUAAAGUAAAUUUUAGACCACGUCUGGCUGAGGGUCGGAUUUGAAAUAAAACUAAAGUUACUCAAACUAAUGGCUUACAGGAUUUUUUAAAAAAUCGAGUAGCCUGUUUGAUACACAAGUUUCAUCGCUGGGUUAAAAUUUAGCUCAGUUAGAAUUCUGGUAGCGCUGAACAAGAAAGCUAACUUGAUGUUAUAAUAAAAUGUUAAAAGCGAUAAAUGUUUGCGCUAUUCAAAAAAAAUAAACCAAAUCAAACAUACGACCUCAGAGUAGGCGAGAUUACCCGCUAAAUUUAA